GCCGGCUGUGGACAAGCUGUGAACAACUGGCCGAUUGCGGUAUCGAUUGCGGUACGCCCACUGCGAGCCUCCUCGCAACUGAUCUCAGCUUCACCUGUUUUGUAAACAGAUGGCCGGGAGUUCGAAUCUCCCCGUCGGCU
rnacentral:tRNA from 1 species